UUGGGCCCGACGUCGCAUGCUCCCGGCCGCCAUGGCGGCCGCGGGAAUUCGAUUGGAUCGCCCUUAGAGUUUGAUCCUGGCUCAGGACGAACGCUGGCGGCGUGCCUAAUACAUGCAAGUCGAGCGGGUUUAUCCUUCGGGAUAAGCUAGCGGCGGACGGGUGAGUAACACGUAGGUAACCUGCCUAUAAGAUCGGGAUAACUAUCGGAAACGAUAGCUAAGACCGGAUAACUGGUUUUCUCGCAUGAGAGAACUAUGAAACACGGAGCAAUCUGUGGCUUAUAGAUGGGCCCGCGGCGCAUUAGCUAGUUGGUAGGGUAACGGCCUACCAAGGCGACGAUGCGUAGCCGACCUGAGAGGGUGAACGGCCACACUGGGACUGAGACACGGCCCAGACUCCUACGGGAGGCAGCAGUAGGGAAUCUUCCGCAAUGGACGCAAGUCUGACGGAGCAACGCCGCGUGAGUGAUGAAGGUUUUCGGAUCGUAAAGCUCUGUUGCCCUAGACGAACAGCAUGAGGAGUAACUGCCUUGUGUGUGACGGUAUAGGAGAAGAAAGCCCCGGCUAACUACGUGCCAGCAGCCGCGGUAAUACGUAGGGGGCAAGCGUUGUCCGGAAUUAUUGGGCGUAAAGCGCGCGCAGGCGGUCAAUUAAGUUGGGUGUUUAAGCCCGGGGCUCAACCCCGGUUCGCAUCCAAAACUGGUUGACUUGAGUGUAGGAGAGGAAAGUGGAAUUCCACGUGUAGCGGUGAAAUGCGUAGAGAUGUGGAGGAACACCAGUGGCGAAGGCGACUUUCUGGCCUAUAACUGACGCUGAGGCGCGAAAGCGUGGGGAGCAAACAGGAUUAGAUACCCUGGUAGUCCACGCCGUAAACGAUGCAUACUAGGUGUUGGGGAUUCGAUUCCUCGGUGCCGAAGUUAACACAGUAAGUAUGCCGCCUGGGGAGUACGCUCGCAAGAGCGAAACUCAAAGGAAUUGACGGGGACCCGCACAAGCAGUGGAGUAUGUGGUUUAAUUCGAAGCAACGCGAAGAACCUUACCAGGUCUUGACAUCUGGGUGUAAGCACUAGAGAUAGUGCCCCUCUUCGGAGCACCCAAGACAGGUGGUGCAUGGUUGUCGUCAGCUCGUGUCGUGAGAUGUUGGGUUAAGUCCCGCAACGAGCGCAACCCUUGAUCUUAGUUGCCAGCACUUCGGGUGGGCACUCUAAGAUGACUGCCGGUGACAAACCGGAGGAAGGUGGGGAUGACGUCAAAUCAUCAUGCCCCUUAUGACCUGGGCUACACACGUACUACAAUGGUCGGUACAACGGGAAGCGAAGCCGCGAGGUGGAGCUAAUCCUUAAAAGCCGAUCUCAGUUCGGAUUGCAGGCUGCAACUCGCCUGCAUGAAGUCGGAAUUGCUAGUAAUCGCGGAUCAGCAUGCCGCGGUGAAUACGUUCCCGGGUCUUGUACACACCGCCCGUCACACCACGAGAGUUUACAACACCCGAAGUCGGUGGGGUAACCCGCAAGGGAGCCAGCCGCCGAAGGUGGGGUAGAUGAUUGGGGUGAAGUCGUAACAAGGUAGCCGUAAAGGGCGAUCCCAAUCACUAGUGAAUUCGCGGCCGCCUGCAGGUCGACCAUAUGGGAGAGCUCCCAACGCGUUGGAUGCAUAGCUUGAGUAUUCUAUAGU
rnacentral:rRNA from 1 species